UUAUACCGUGCUGAAUAUAUCGGUUCUCUUUCGAUCACCGAAGUCAAGCGUCAUGGGACGCAGUCAGUACUUGGCAUGGUGACCAACUGGGAACACCGUGUGUC